AUCUACGGUCAUGGCACCCUGAACAAGCCCCAUGUCUGAUCCUGGAAGCUAAGCAGGGUCGUGCCUGAUUAGUACUUGGAUGGGAGACCAACUAGGAAGACCAGGUGCUGUAGGCA
rnacentral:rRNA from 1 species